rnacentral:rRNA from 1 species
AUUGAACGCUGGCGGCAGGCCUAACACAUGCAAGUCGAGCGGUAGCACAGGAGAGCUUGCUCUCUGGGUGACGAGCGGCGGACGGGUGAGUAAUGUCUGGGAAACUGCCUGAUGGAGGGGGAUACCUACUGGAAACGGUAGCUAAUACCGCAUAACGUCUUCGGACCAAAGUGGGGACCCUCGGGCCUCACGCCAUCAGAUGUGCCCAGAUGGGAUUAGCUAGUAGGUGGGGUAUGGCUCACCUAGGCGACGAUCCCUAGCUGGUCUGAGAGGAUGACCAGCCACACUGGAACUGAGACACGGUCCAGACUCCUACGGGAGGCAGCAGUGGGAAUAUUGCACAUUGGGCCGCACGCGUGAAUGCAGCCAUGCCGCGUGUGUUAUGAAGGCCCUCGGGGUUGUAAAGCAACUUUCAGGCGAGGAAGGAAGGUUAGUGCUGUUAAUACGCCCAUGCAUUGACCGUUACUUCGAAAAAGAAGCAUCGGCCUACUCCCUUCCCACCAGCCGCGGUGAUUACGGGGGGGAAGCUUUAUACCGAAUUAUCUGCCUAAAGCUCAUGUGGGGGGUUGUUAAGUCGGAGUAAAUCCCGCGUAAACGGGGAACUGCAUUUCAACUGGAAGCGCACCCUGGCGAGGGGGGAAAAUUACAAUAUUACCGCGACCCCCAAAAGACAGGACCAUUCCCGCCUCAACUUGUUUUUUUGUUUCGGGCGGGGGCAGUUGUAUGUUAAACUUCAAACGAGUCUCAAUCUGUUUGUGUCGGGGGGUCUUUUUUUGGGGGGGGGGGGGGGCGGGAGGCGUUUUUUGAUGGAGUAUACGCGCUGUGCGCGUUAUUCCUCAAAAAGAAUAUAU